rnacentral:tRNA from 1 species
GCCCAGAUGGCGGAACUGGCAGACGCGCCACCUUGAGGUGGUGGUUCCUUAACGGGAGUGGAGGUUCGAAUCCUCUUCUGGGCA